UACGAAGGGGGCUAGCGUUGCUCGGAAUCACUGGGCGUAAAGGGUGCGUAGGCGGGUCUUUAAGUCAGGGGUGAAAUCCUGGAGCUCAACUCCAGAACUGCCUUCGAUACUGGCGAUCUCGAGUCCGGAAGAGGUGAGUGGAACUCCUAGUGUAGAGGUGGAAUUCGUAGAUAUUAGGAAGAACACCAGUGGCGAAGGCGACUCACUGGUCCGGUACUGACGCUGAGGUGCGAAAGCUAGGGGAGCAAACAGG
rnacentral:rRNA from 1 species